rnacentral:rRNA from 1 species
AGAGUUUGAUCCUGGCUCAGGAUGAACGCUGACAGAAUGCUUAACACAUGCAAGUCUACUUGAAUUCUCUUCGGAGAUAGUAAGGUGGCGGACGGGUGAGUAACACGUAAAGAACUUGCCCUGCAGUCUGGGACAACUAUUGGAAACGAUAGCUAAUACCGGAUAUUAUGCGAGAGCCGCAUGGCUCUUUCAUGAAAGCUAUAUGCGCUGCAGGAGAGCUUUGCGUCCCAUUAGUUAGUUGGUGAGGUAACGGCUCACCAAGACCGCGAUGGGUAGCCGGCCUGAGAGGGUGAACGGCCACAAGGGGACUGAGACACGGCCCUUACUCCUACGGGAGGCAGCAGUGGGGAAUAUUGGACAAUGGACCAAAAGUCUGAUCCAGCAAUUCUGUGUGCACGAUGACGGUCUUAGGAUUGUAAAGUGCUUUCAAUCGGGAAAAAGAAAGUGAUGGUACCGAUAGAAGAAGCGACGGCUAAAUACGUGCCAGCAGCCGCGGUAAUACGUAUGUCGCAAGCGUUAUCCGGAUUUAUUGGGCGUAAAGCGCGUCUAGGCGGUCUGGUAAGUCUGAUGUGGAAAUGCGGGGCUCAACUCCGUAUUGCGUUGGAAACUGCCAGACUAGAGUACUGGAGAGGUGGGCGGAACUACAAGUGUAGAGGUGAAAUUCGUAGAUAUUUGUAGGAAUGCCGAUAGAGAAGUCAGCUCACUGGACAGAUACUGACGCUGAAGCGCGAAAGCAUGGGGAGCAAACAGGAUUAGAUACCCUGGUAGUCCAUGCCGUAAACGAUGAUUACUAAGCGUCGGGGGUCGAACCUCGGCACUCAAGCUAACGCGAUAAGUAAUCCGCCUGGGGAGUACGUACGCAAGUAUGAAACUCAAAGGAAUUGACGGGGACCCGCACAAGUGGUGGAGCAUGUGGUUUAAUUCGACGCAACGCGAGGAACCUUACCAGCGUUUGACAUCCUAGGAAUGAGAAAGAGAUUUUUCAGUGCUCCUUCGGGAGAACCUAGAGACAGGUGGUGCAUGGCUGUCGUCAGCUCGUGU